ensembl:snRNA U6 U6 spliceosomal RNA
AAACUUCACAGCAGCACAUAUACUAAAAUUAGAAUAAUACUGAGAAAAUUAGCAUGGCUCCAGCACAAGAAUGACUUGAAAAUUCAUGAGUCAUUCCAUAUUUUU